AUGCUACAGGCAGAUUUCUCCUUGGUGGUUGAAAGUGACCCUAAUAUCAUAGUAGAUGCAUCCUGCGAGUUGCAUUUAAUUGUCAGCCUGUUUGCCCCUUGUAUGACUCUAUUAGCAAAACCCAUGAGGAGUCAAGUGGGGCUUAUCCCCGUGCAGUCAGUAAGUAAUUAGCAAAUGUAAGAAUAAGGCAGAGGUGGAAAAAAAAACCACAGGGUUCCCAGAGUUUCAAUAGGUCAUGCUAGGGAUUUCUAACUCACAUUUUGUUCUCUACCACUCUCUAGGGGGGUUUCUUUGCUCCUUAGACCUUGGAAACUUCUAAGCAGAAUAAGAGAUCCUGUUUGGAGAUCUUAUCUUCAUGCCUCCUUUCUGGGUGUCCCUUUUUUCUUCUCUCUCACCAGCCUGGCAUUCCUCCUCCAUACCUCUUAAGUGCCAGAUUCUGUCAUCCUGGAUGGAGUGCAAAAGCUACAGUGUAAUCUCACAUUCUUUCAGGGCCAGUGACCAGAGGAAACACAAGCUAGCCCGACCAGGCUCUCCUGAUGCUGAUCAGCCAAUGGCCCUGCAGUUUCCUCUGUGUUUAGAAUUCCUUAUCUGGCAUUGCUAGCAAAUGCUCAAGCCCACAAGUCAACUAGAAGCUUAUCUGUAGGGCUGGAGCUUCAAAGAGAUAGCCAUACACUGUUCCUCGGGGUCAGAGGCUCUGUGACAGUGUGAGAUGGGAGGCUUUUGGGAUCAGUCAAUUUAACACGGGUAACACAACUCAUUCACUUCUUUUGUUUUGAAACAGGGUUCAUUGCUUUCUCUUUUCUCAUUUGAGGAACACCUCUUGGUAUAUUAGUACAAGAAAAGUGUGGAAAAUUUAACAGGAAGUGGAAAGAACACAUUCCCUAAAGACUGUUGUUACUGGCUUUUCUAUAUGAAUGUUGGCCAGCCAUUGUUUUAUAUUUGUUACUAUGUUAUUAUUAUUUUGGUGUUGCUGGGAUUCU
rnacentral:lncRNA from 1 species